CACGUGAACCCAUGUUGUAGAUUACUGGGCGAAAGAGCGGGAGUGGAACAACACGUUCAGCAGUUCGAAGGAAGAGCGUUACCACCCGUGGAAGAGAAGGGCAUCGCCAGUCGACUUGAAGAUGAAGGGGAUCUUGAUAGCUGCGCUGAUUUUGGCGGUUACUCCAUCUAGCGCCCAAAGUUCGGCGUGGACUGUCAGCGACGUGAACACCACAGCAGUAUGUGUCGUAGCUCGAAUGGAACUGGACAUCAAGAUUUCCUACUUGGACGACACCGGGGCGAGACUCAACGCAACCAUUGGUUU